rnacentral:rRNA from 1 species
UACGUAGGGUGCGAGCGUUGUCCGGAAUUAUUGGGCGUAAAGAGCUCGUAGGCGGUUUGUCGCGUCUGCUGUGAAAUCCCGAGGCUCAACCUCGGGUCUGCAGUCGAUACGGGCGGACUUGAGUGUUGCAGGGGAGACUGGAAUUCCUGGUGUAGCGGUGAAAUGCGCAGAUAUCAGGAGGAACGCCGGUGGCGAAAGCGGCGCACUGGAUCUCAUCUGACGCUGAGGCGCGAAAGCCAGGGGAGCAAACGGG